CCAAAGUGUGGUUAACUUUUCAACACUCUUGUCCUAAAGUAAGCAUGUUUAUAUUUAGCUACAAUUUGAAGGUAACUCCAUCGCCCCCUUGAGUACUGAGGUUUGUAACUGCACACUUGCGAUUUGCACUUGCCGUUUAUAGCCAUAGUUUCUAGUCCUUUUUUUGUAUAUCUCCACCAUGAUCUCAGCACAGGAAGAAAAGCUUUCCCUGUAAUUCUCUUUGUCUUUGUCCUGAUCUUUCACUCCUUCCUCUGUGAUGAAGUUCUUUGAUCUGCUCUAAGUAGGUGGAUCUCAUAGAUCAUCCUGGAAUGUGAUUGUAGGUUUUAUAAAGCCUGAGUCUGCCAGCCACGUUCAUGACUGCUACAGCCGCAGCUGCCCCGCAGGGUCUGGCAUCUGUAACAGUAACAGCCUGGCGGAAGGCCAAACUGCAAAGAAGCACAAACCCAAACUCAUCAAGAAGCACUUAUCCAGGCCAUGGGAAAACUCAAAACUCACCAGACCCCCUGAAAACAGCAGGUCCACUGGAGCCUUUCACUUUCUAAACAACAAGAAACAACAGCUAUCCUUUACAAAGCCAUAAAUCAGCAGAAAGCGGUGCAGACCCUCACAGCAGCUGUCUAAUUUCAGAAGUGAACGCAAACCCCCGAGUUCAAAGACCGACAGGAGAAGCCGAGCGAGCGGUGUUCACUACAGUUUAGAUGCAGAACUUUCAUUUAUCCAGCUGUGAUGUAUUACUCUGCACUGCGGUUUACUUGAGAAUAUUUUCCACCUUCAGAGUUCAUGACUGCACUUCACUGGUACUAUUGCUCACACUUACGGUUAGUGAUGUGAUCGAACGCUAAUGUAACUCAUAACAUACUGUUUCACAUGUCUUGUCUGGGAACAGUGACUUUUGUAAACAAAACAAAGAUUACUGGACCAUGUUUUACAAGAAAAUACUAUUUCAGUCUAUCUACCUCAAAAUGAAACACAAUGCAUCAUCAUUCUGGGUUCAGGACAGGAGAUAUCAUGCCCUCUAGUGGUGCUUAGGGCAACGUCUAUUUACAGGUAAACUAAACUUCAUAGAAUCUCCACAGCCACAUUAAGAACAAUAUCUCAAACUACUGUAUAUCUGAGAAUAAGUAUUUUAGUAGCUUUAUAUGCCUUAAGGGUUUUCAACAAAUAAUAAUUCAACAAUUAAAACUGAAGACCAAUUCUCACUAUUAACUAUGACUUUUGCCCCAAAAAACUCCUAAUUUGCUGCUUAUUAAUAGUUAGAAAGGUAGUUGUUAAAUUUAGGAAUGGGGUAAGAUUAAGGGAUCUAAAAGAUAGUCAUGCAGAAUAAAGUAUUAACAUGUGCUUAGUAUAUAAGCACGCUAAUAAGCAUGUUAAUAAUGAAAGAGAGAAUUGGUCCCUAAACUAAAGUGACAAUUCUUCUGAAUAUUUAAAUUUUAUAAAUACAGAUUGUGUUGACUUUAACAAAUUUUAUUUAUUAUUUUGAAAAUUUAAGAGCCACGCAUCAAAAAUAAUCAGUUCAAAAUCAGUCAUUUGAGGGCAAUUUUAAGCAUUGGAAUUAUAUUAAUAAUUCAUAUAUAAUGGAUCUAUAUUAUAUUUUAAAUAAAGCAUUAAUGGACAUGGAAAUUGCAGAAUGAAUCUGAUACAUAAAAUAAAUGUUUAUAUUUACAAAUGUUCAAGUUACC
ensembl:lncRNA